AUGGCGUGCAUCGGCCGUCCUGACGUCGUGAGCAAGAGAGCAGGGGCGGCAGGAGAGCCACCGGAAGCAUGUCUCGGCCACGUCCGCCUAGCGACGACAGAGGUCGGUGGCAGGAAGCCCGAACCGGAACCUCCCGCGGAUCUGGAUCUCCCCCGGAAGUCGGAACCCACCCCAGUCGUCGACGUUGAUGGCCGGUGUGUUGAAGAGGAAGAAGAAAGGCGGCAAGGCAGGCAGAAGACAAGAGGACGAGCGUCACGCACGCGUUGCCUCGCACGAGCCCGCCGGCCGGCGUCGGCGUCCCGCCCCAACACGCAGCAUACGUGCCCAAGCGUGCAAGGAAACGAAGCGACGAUCCCCUUUCCGUCCACGUGA
rnacentral:rRNA from 1 species